rnacentral:rRNA from 1 species
AUUGAACGCUGGCGGCACGCCUUACACAUGCAAGUCGAACGGUAACAGGUCUUCGGAUGCUGACGAGUGGCGAACGGGUGAGUAAUACAUCGGAACGUGCCUAGUAGUGGGGGAUAACUACUCGAAAGAGUGGCUAAUACCGCAUGAGAUCUACGGAUGAAAGCAGGGGAUCGCAAGACCUUGUGCUACUAGAGCGGCCGAUGGCAGAUUAGGUAGUUGGUGGGAUAAAAGCUUACCGAGCCGACGAUCUGUAGCUGGUCUGAGAGGACGAUCAGCCACACUGGGACUGAGAAACGGCCCAGACUCCUACGGGAGGCAGCAGUGGGGAAGUUUGGACAAUGGGCGCAAGCCUGAUCCAGCAAUGCCGCGUGCAGGAUGAAGGCCUUCGGGUUGUAAACUGCUUUUGUACGGAACGAAAAGCCCCGGGUUAAUACCCUGGGGUCAUGACGGUACCGUAAGAAUAAGCACCGGCUAACUACGUGCCAGCCGCCGCCGUAA